CAGCAGGUUUUUGAACUACUUUGAACUGAACCUGUGCCCUUGGAAGCUGGUUUGGAGGAUAUUUUCACCAAGGUGAGAGUGCGAUCAAGCCUUGGAUCAUCUUUAGCUGACUUGUAAGGGCUUUUGGAGACUUAACUUGAGCAGGGUUGAGGCCUAGUUGAACUAAGUCUCGGGACUUCUUUGGGCUGGAUUAAGCCCAGUGAUAGGUGGGUUUGACCUAACCAGAGCAAGUGAAGCUCCCCUAUGUUCUAUUUGUCACUAUAGAAUUGGUUUAGUAGCGCAGUUUUAAG